UGCAGGGAGGAAUGUUGUUAUUGACCAAGAUGAUGUACCUAAAGUAAUUAAUGAUGGUGUCACAAUUGCCAAGGCUAUAGAGCUCCCAAAUGCACUUGAGCAUGCAGGUGCCACGCUACUUCAAGAAAUAGCAUCCAAGACAAAUAACGCUGUUGGUGAUGGAACUACAACGACAAUUGUUUUGGCUCGGGAAAUCAUCAAUCUUUGGUUGUUGGCAAUUGCCAUUGGUGCUAACCCAGUUGCAUUGAGAAGGGGUAUUGACAAAGUCGUUCAUGAGCUAAUUAAGAUCUUGAAGAGUAAAUGUAUCCCUGUGAGUACAAAGGAGGACAUAAAAGACAGAUAAUUGAAAAAGAGAAUUGAUCUUUUUUAUGGGCGAAGUGUUGAAGAUGGCUUUGGUGAAGGAAAUGUCUUGUUAGCAUCAAGUAAGUGGCGACAUUGCAACCACUACAAGCUUGUGCCUUAAAACAAGAGGAUACACAAGAAGUUGGAGUGCUUUUGUGAAGGAUUUUGCGAAUCACUUGAAGCGUUAGGACUUUUGUGAAUGAUUUUGUAAAGUGUUUGCAAAUAUGUGCAAAACAUAAUAACAUGUGUAGGUUUUGUGAAUGAUUUUGUUGUGGUGCUUGUUGAUGGUUUAUGUGAUGUGGAUCUAUCAUUGUGCAAUACUAAUUAAAUUUGUAUAUC